AGUGAACGCUGGCGGUAGGCCUAACACAUGCAAGUCGAACGGCAGCACAGUAAGAGCUUGCUCUUACGGGUGGCGAGUGGCGGACGGGUGAGGCAUACAUCGGACUCUACUUUUUCGUGGGGGAUAACGUAGGGAAACUUACGCUAAUACCGCAUAAGACCUACGGGUGAAAGCAGGGGAUCUUCGGACCUUGCGCGAUUGAAUGAGCCGAUGUCGGAUUAGCUAGUUGGCGGGGUAAAGGCCCACCAAGGCGACGAUCCGUAGCUGGUCAGAGAGGAGGAGCAGCCAAACUGGAACGGAGGGACGGUCCGGACCCCUACGGGAGGCAGCAGUGGGGAAUAUUGGAGGAUGGGCGCAAGCGUGAUCAAGGCAUACCGCGUGGGUGAAGGAGGCCGUCGGGUUGUGAAGGUCUAGUGGUGUGAAAGAAAGGAAGCAGGUUAAUACCCCGCUGUUCUGACGGUACCCAAAGAAUAAGCACCGGCUAACUUCGUU
rnacentral:rRNA from 1 species